rnacentral:piRNA from 1 species
CCAUGGAUGUCUCUCACUGUCUUCAGUGGU